rnacentral:rRNA from 1 species
CCUACGGGUGGCAGCAGUGAGGAAUAUUGGUCAAUGGCCGUAAGGCUGAACCAGCCAAGUAGCGUGAGGGAAGACUGCCCUAUGGGUUGUAAACCUCUUUUAUGCGGGGAUAAAGGUGUCCACGUGUGGAUGUUUGCAGGUACCGCAUGAAUAAGGACCGGCUAAUUCCGUGCCAGCAGCCGCGGUAAUACGGAAGGUCCGGGCGUUAUCCGGAUUUAUUGGGUUUAAAGGGAGCGUAGGCAGGUCUUUAAGCGUGCCGUGAAAUUUUGUGGCUCAACCAUGGGAGUGCGGCGCGAACUGGGGGCCUUGAGUGCGCGGAAGGCAGGCGGAAUUCGUGGUGUAGCGGUGAAAUGCUUAGAUAUCACGAAGAACCCCGAUUGCGAAGGCAGCCUGCCGCAGCGUUACUGACGCUGAAGCUCGAAAGCGCGGGUAGCGAACAGGAUUAGAUACCCGUGUAGUC